rnacentral:rRNA from 1 species
ACCAUGGAGCGGGGGCUCCACCCGAUCCCAUUCCGAACUCGGCAGUUAAGCCCCGCAUCGCCGAUGGUACUGCGACGUCAGGUCGCGGGAGAGCAGGACGU